rnacentral:rRNA from 1 species
GACGAACGCUGGCGGCGUGCCUAAUACAUGCAAGUAGAACGCUGAAGAGAGGAGCUUGCUCUUCUUGGAUGAGUUGCGAACGGGUGAGUAACGCGUAGGUAACCUGCCUUGUAGCGGGGGAUAACUAUUGGAAACGAUAGCUAAUACCGCAUAACAAUGGAUGACACAUGUCAUUUAUUUGAAAGGGGCAAUUGCUCCACUACAAGAUGGACCUGCGUUGUAUUAGCUAGUAGGUGAGGUAACGGCUCACCUAGGCGACGAUACAUAGCCGACCUGAGAGGGUGAUCGGCCACACUGGGACUGGGACACGGCCCAGAACCCUACGGGAGGCAGCAGUAGGGAAUCUUCGGCAAUGGGGGCAACCCUGACCGAGCAACGCCGCGUGAGUGAAGAAGGGUUUCGGAUCGUAAAGCUCUGUUGUAAGUCAAGAACGAGUGUGAGAGUGGAAAGUUCACACUGUGACGGUAGCUUACCAGAAAGGGACGGCUAACUACGUG